rnacentral:rRNA from 1 species
UACGGGGGGGGCAAGCGUUGUUCGGAAUUACUGGGCGUAAAGGGCUCGUAGGCGGCCAACUAAGUCAGACGUGAAAUCCCUCGGCUUAACCGGGGAACUGCGUCUGAUACUGGAUGGCUUGAGUUUGGGAGAGGGAUGCGGAAUUCCAGGUGUAGCGGUGAAAUGCGUAGAUAUCGGAAGGAACACCAGUGGCGAAAGCGGCUUCCUGGUCCAGCACCGACGUUCAGGCACGAAAGCGUGGGGAGCAAACAGG